rnacentral:piRNA from 1 species
UACAAUGUUUUUUUUUGCAGA